CUUGUGUCUUUCACAUUCCCAGAUUCUUAAGCAGAAUAUAGGAGCAGGUGUGGGAGGAGAAGUCAGAGCUGCAGAUCAGAAACUAUCCUGACACUGGCAUGCAUCUUCUCCUUGAUCUCUCAGGAAAAGCUUAAAAUGAGAUGAUAUCAGCACACAAGACAUGUCUUUGGAAUGGGGGUACACUGAGGAAAACCCCAAAGCAUGGAAUGAACAUGCAAACUCCAUGUAUGCAUGGGUCUACCCUGAGGUCAGAUGAGCUCAGUGAUGAAGGGCUUUGCUGCACUGGAUGGACAGUUGACUGGUGGAUGCAGUAAAACCCUCUGCUGACAUCCAACAGAUUAAGAAUAUGACUGGAUAAAAGUCUUCAUCGAUUUCUUUUGCUCUAAUCCAGCAGGAGAGUUCCAAUGAAGUUCCACAUGACCCACUGAACAUUUUCUCAGUUGUUUUCCAAACAAAAUGAAGUUUCUUAUCUGUUCUGCUUUCACAAUGUAACAGUGGGCAUCUCAUCUCUGUUCAAAUGUGUUUUACUUCUCUGUGAAACAUUAUAUACUUUGGUUUUCCUUUCAAUAUUUGCAGCGGUGAAGAUGUUCCUCCAGCUUAGAGACUGUCGGGUUUGACAGAUUGCAGCCAGAGUUGGCUUGAAUACCUAACAGGUGAAUAAAACGUACAUAAUCCAGCAAGUUACCACAACACACAAAGUUUGCAUGCGUGGCUCAAUCACUCUGGCAUUUGUUACUCUGACAUUUCCAGCCUAAUUCCGACCUAAUUUAUGUCCCAGAAAACAGAACAGAAAGCCAGCUGCCUUGAACAAACACAUAAAGGCACUGACUGUAUAAUGCAAAACCAAAACUACAAACAAUGAAACAUUAAAGAUCAAUAACGGAUGAGGCAGACAUGACAGAGAUAGUUUUACAUAGUUCUAUUCAAUUUUCCAACAUAAGACAGUACAGUAAAAGAAAUGUUUACUUUUAACUUACACUGUUUACUUGCACUUUUAUUAUUAAAUAAUAAGGAAUCCUUAAAUUAUUAGGAUUUAUAUUAGCAUACAGAAGUUAGCAAGUAACAUAUUUAGGGUCAGAUUAAUAAAUUUGACAGUAAAUAAAUAAAUUAAUUAAUUUAUACUGUUACUGUGGUGUAAACUGAAAUAAGGCAGGAAUUUCAUGGUGAUUGAAUGUCACAGUGAAAAAGCUGUGGGAGCAUUAGCAAGAAGCUUUAACACCAGUACAAUGUUGUUGUUCCUCUGGACAUGAGAAAUCCUAUCAUUAAAUGGCUUCUUCACCAUCCGCUCUAAAAUACCAGUCUCUGGGAGAAGAUCUGGAAACUGCUCAUCAGUCAGGAAAUUUGACAGAAUUAGUCUAAUUUAAGAUGUGAAUCAGAUACAUGCUAAGAUGAGGUUAAGCACAUUUUGCAAGGAUGACCAUAGACAAGAAAAUAAAGCAAAUAAAGCAAGAAAAUAAAACAGAGCCAACAAUGCUGACUUGCUACAACCUAAGAAUGAGGCAAGGGCAUUGCCUGAGCUACUAUUCAUUGUCUAGAACUGAGUUUGAAAUUACAAUCCCCCAAGCAUAACAUUAUGACCACCUGCCUAAUAUUGUGUUGGUCCCCCUUUUGCUGCCAAAACAGCCCUGACCCUUCAUGCACUGUGUAUUCUGACACUUUUCUAUCAGAAUCAAACCCUUACAUUUGCCCAUUUUCCCUGCUUCUAACACAUCAACUUUGAGGACAAAAUGUUGCUGGCACUUGCUGCCUAAUAUAUCCCACCCACUAACAGGUGCCAUGAU